rnacentral:rRNA from 1 species
GACGAACGCUGGAGGAGUGCCUAAUACAUGCAAGUAGAACGCAGUUGAGAACGGGUGAGUAAAGCGUAGGUAACUGCCUAAUAGCGGGGGAUAACUAUUGGAACAGAUAGCUACUACCGCAUACUGUGAGAUGGACUUGCGUUGUAUUAGCUAGUUGGUGAGGUAAAGGCUCAUCAAGGCGCAGCUACAUAGCCGACCUGAGAGGGUGAUUGGACACAUUGGGAAUGAGACACUGCCCAGAGUCCUACGGGCGGCAUCAGUAGGGAAUCCUCGGAAAUGGACGGAAGCCUGACCUAGCAACGCCGCUGGAGUGAUGAAGGUUUUCGGAUCGUAAAGCUCUGUUGUUAGAGAAGCGGUAACUACCCAGAAAGGGACGGUUAACUACGUGCCAGCAGCCGCGGGAAUC